GGUUGAAAGUAUCAAACUCAAAUGCAAAUGCAAACAUUCCAAAAGAAAAUAGAAUUCCCUGCGUAUAUCUUCUUCUCUUUCUUCUUUUUCUAUCAAUUUAUUUCUAGUCCCUUGGUGGCCAUCCAACAAUCACAGGUACUUCCUCUCUGUUUCUCGUAUGGUUUGGACUCAUCAAUAUCUUUUAUCUCUACUAAUAAUACUUCCUAACAACAUUGACCAAUGCUCUAUUAUUUCAUAGAGUGUUUAUUCAACUCCUGCACAUAAUUUGUUUUAAUGGAAGAAUUCUUGAGAUCCUUUUGAUAAGGUACAUGAAGGUGCAAAAAGUGUCUCGUGAGUGAAUUAUUCAGAUAAAGGACGCCACAUUAGCACAUGAGAAAGCAACAUACUUUUAUCUUUUUUCGCUUACGAUUAUUCACAUACUUCAACUAGACUUUUUAUAAUCGAGUGAUUUCACUUUAUUUAUCCAAUGAAUUUUGUACUCAGAUGCUAUCUCAGAAUAAUCAAAAAUGUAAUUAGUGUCU